rnacentral:tRNA from 3 species
CGGUGUGUAGCUCAGUUUGGUAGAGUGUAUCGUUCGGGGCGAUAAAGUCGGCGGGUUCGAAUCCUCCCACACCGACCA